UUAUAUAAUAGAUUCAAUUAGCUCGAGUCUAUGUAUGAUUCUCAUGAAAACUCUUUUCCACCAAUUACACUGCUAUGGCCAUAGAUUUAAGGACUCAGCUUCUUAAAUUCUAUAGGACUGCUCUUCUCUGCUGGGAUUGAUAGAUUCUAUCUAGGUAUGCACCUUACUCCUACAGUGGAUCAACUAUCACCAAUAUCUACUAUAAGAACUCAUUGAGUCAAUAUUUAUAUGUAGUCAAACUCCAGUAGCCUCACUGCAAGUAGCUAUGGCACCAC
rnacentral:lncRNA from 1 species